rnacentral:rRNA from 1 species
CAUAUCACUAAGCGGAGAAAAAGAAAAUAACUAUGAUUCCUAGAGUAACGGCGAGUGAAAUAGGAUUAGCCCAUAGCCGAAUUCCGCUGUCCUCGACGGCAGCUGGAAGUUGUGGCGUUGGGAACUGCCUAUUGUAACCGAUCGGUCGGGCAACGCGACUCCUCUUGAUUGUGGUUUUGCCCAUAGCAGGUGAAAGGCCUAUAGUCGUAGCUUCGAGUCGAAGACCGGCGGUGAUGGCAGUCCUUAGAGUCGGGUUGUUUGGGAUUGCAGCCCGAAGCAGGUGGUAAACUCCACCUAAGGCUAAAUACGAUCGCGAGUCCGAUAGCGCACAAGUACCGUGAGGGACAGUUGAAAAGAACUUUGAAGAGAGAGUUCAAAGUACGUGAAACCGUUCAGAGGUAAACGGGUAGAAAGUCGAAUUGAAGGCUGACAAUCAGGCCGUUGGCUAAGUCUGAGUUGGGCUGGUAGCACGUUAAAGGCUGCCAGUUUGCUCGCAUGGCUGGCUAUGGUUGUAUUUGUUGGCUUUGGAUCGCCGCGACGGCAGUGUCUGACCGGUUGGUGUUGGUUCCUCUGGUUAGCUAGGAUCCGUAUGGGUCUUUUAGUUGGCACACGGACUGGCAUCCCGCGUACACAGCACAGCCGAUUUACCUUCGAUUUCAGUGCUUCAUCUGGCUGUUGUUCGUUGCGUAUUGGUAGUCUGAUGUUAAAUAACUUCACCUGCUAACAUCGUGGCGGCAGCGGUUGGUUUAAUGACGAAGCUAAAAUCGUUCAGUGGCGUUAGACUACGAAUUAUCUACCUGACCCGUCUUGAAACACGGACCAAGGAGUCUAACCUGUGCGCAAGUCAUUGAGAUUACAAAACUCAAAGGCGUAGUGAAAGCAAUUUCGGUGAGAUCCGUCAUUUUAUCGUUAAGAUUAAUGGCGGCGCAUCAUCAUCACGCUACAACUCGGCUUCGGCUGUGGUAGCGCAGAUUGAGCGCACAAGUUGGGACCCGAAAGAUGGUGAACUAUGCGUGGCGAGGUCGAAGCCAGAGGAAACUCUGGUGGAGGACUGUAGCGGUUCUAACGUGCAAAUUGAUCGUCGCAGCUGCGUAUAGGGGCGAAAGACUAAUCGAACCAUCUAGUAGCUGGUUCCCUCCGAAGUUUCCCUCAGGAUAGCUGGCACUUUUUAACAUAGCAGUUUUGUCCGGUAAAGCGAAUGACUAGAGGCCUUGGGGACAUAACGACCUCAACCUAUUCUCAAACUUUGAAUGGGCAAGAAGAGUAACUCACUUAAUUGGAGUCGCUCAUCUUUAAGAAUGCUUGAGUGCCAAGUGGGCCAUUUUUGGUAAGCAGAACUGGCGCUGUGGGAUGAACCAAACGUUUAGCUAAGGUGCCAAAUGCUAACGCUCAUCCGAACCCAUUAAAGGUGUUGGUUGAUAGAGACAGCAGGACGGUGGCCAUGGAAGUCGGAACCCGCCAAGGAGUGUGUAACAACUCACCUGCCGAAUCAACCAGUCCUGAAAAUGGAUGGCGCUGAAGCGUUGUGAACCUAUGCUAGACCGGCAUUGCAAAUUUUUACAAAUCAUGCUAUGCCGAGUAGGAGGGUCGCUGUGGUAUGCGUUGAAGGUUAGGGCGAGAGCCCGACUCGAGCUUCCACAGGUGCAGAUCUUGGUGGUAGUAGCAAAUAUUCAAACGAGAGCUUUGAAGGCCGAAGUGGAGAAGGGUUCCAUGUGAACAGCAUUUGAACAUGGGUCAGUCGGUCCUAAGCGAUAGGCGAAUGCCGUUCUGAAAGCAGGCUUGAUUUUUAAUAUUUAAUUAUAUUUGAUUAUCUUUAUGCCUGAUUUCGGUCGAAAGGGAAUCGGGUUAAUAUUCCCGAACCUGGACGCGGAGAUGGAGUCGUAGGCAACUGCGGCUCAGUGCGGUAACGCAAACGAUCUCGGAUUAGUCGGCGAGAGUCCUGGGAAGAGUUCUCUCUUCUUUGUAAGGGGCUGAAUCCCUGGAAUCGGCUUAGCCGGAGAUAGGGAUAUUGCAAGUUCCCGUAAAGCAUCACACUUCUUGUGAUGUCCGGUGCACGAUUGUCGACACUUAAAAGUCCGAGCUAGACGUUCAUAAUGUUCGCGCCAGGCCGUACCCAUAUCCGCAGCAGGUCUCCAAGGUGAACAGCCUCUGGCCAAUAGACUGAUGUAGUCAAGGGAAGUCGGCAAAUUGGAUCCGUAACUUCGGAACAAGGAUUGGCUCUAUGGGUUGGGCCGUGACGGGCUGUACGAGGAAGCGAUGCCUGCUAUUGGUGCUUUGGGUCUGGCUGGCAACGGCUGGGCCUAGCGCCGAUUGGCGGCGCGUGGAUCUUGUAUGGCUUCUGUCGGCGAUCUUCGGGUCGUCGGCAUCGUUCGGCAAAAAGCAACCGCCAUAGAACUGGUACGGACCAGGGGAA